CUCCCGUCUCCACUCCAUCCCAGCCGAGCAGCGGGCGGGCGCCGGCGUCCGUCCUCGCUCGCCCGGAAAUCCCAUCCUCUACAAACCAGAUCAUGUGAUUUUGAACUUGUAUUGUUAACAAGGAGCUUCCACAUCUCAGCCCUCAGCUAAGGAUUGGAAUGGCCAAAUCCAAUGGCAAUGAGGAAAAUGAUGACACGGG